AGCGAACGCUGGCGGCAGGCCUAACACAUGCAAGUCGAACGAACCCUUCGGGGUUAGUGGCGGACGGGUGAGUAACACGUGGGAACGUGCCUUUAGGUUCGGAACAACUCAGGGAAACUUGUGCUAAUACCGAAUGUGCCCUUCGGGGGAAAGAUUUAUCGCCUUUAGAGCGGCCCGCGUCUGAUUAGCUAGUUGGUGAGGUAAAGGCUCACCAAGGCUACGAUCAGUAGCUGGUCUGAGAGGAUGAUCAGCCACACUGGGACUGAGACACGGCCCAGACUCCUACGGGAGGCAGCAGUGGGGAAUCUUGGACAAUGGGCGCAAGCCUGAUCCAGCCAUGCCGCGUGAGUGAAGAAGGCCUUAGGGUUGUAAAACUCUUUCGCCGGAGAAGAUAAUGACGGUAUCCGGAGAAGAAGCCCCGGCUAACUUCGUGCCAGCCGCCGCAGUAAGAC
rnacentral:rRNA from 1 species